GCAAUGGUGGUCUAGCGGUCAGAACACUAGCCUUGUAAGCCUGGGGUCCCGGGUUCAAUUCCCGGUGGUGCU
rnacentral:tRNA from 1 species